CCUCAGUUCGGAUUGUAGUCUGCAACCCGACUACAUGAAGCCGGAAUCGCUAGUAAUCGCGAAUCAGAAUGUCGCGGUGAAUACGUUCCCGGGCCUUGUACACACCGCCCGUCAAGCCAUGGGAGCCGGGGGCGCCUGAAGUCCGGGACCGCGAGGACCGGCCUAGGGCGAAACUGGUAACUGGGGCUAAGUCGUAACAAGGUACC
rnacentral:rRNA from 1 species